CCUACGGGAGGCAGCAGUAGGGAAUCUUCCACAAUGGGCGAAAGCCUGAUGGAGCAACGCCGCGUGGGUGAAGAAGGUCUUCGGAUCGUAAAACCCUGUUGUUAGAGAAGAAAGUGCGUGAGAGUAACUGUUCACGUUUCGACGGUAUCUAACCAGAAAGCCACGGCUAACUACGUGCCAGCAGCCGCGGUAAUACGUAGGUGGCAAGCGUUAUCCGGAUUUAUUGGGCGUAAAGGGAACGCAGGCGGUCUUUUAAGUCUGAUGUGAAAGCCUUCGGCUUAACCGGAGUAGUGCAUUGGAAACUGGGAGACUGGAGUGCAGAAGAGGAGAGUGGAACUCCAUGUGGAGCGGUGAAAUGCGUAGAUAUAUGGAAGAACACCAGUGGCGAAAGCGGCUCUCUGGUCUGUAACUGACGCUGAGGUUCGAAAGCGUGGGUAGCAAACAGGAUUAGAUACCCCAGUAGUC
rnacentral:rRNA from 1 species